UACAGAGGGGGCAAGCGUUGUUCGGAAUUACUGGGCGUAAAGGGCGCGUAGGCGGCCCGCUAAGUCGAACGUGAAAUCCCCGAGCGCAACUCGGGAACUGCGUCCGAUACUGGCGGGCUUGAAUUCGGGAGAGGGAUGCAGAAUUCCAGGUGUAGCGGUGAAAUGCGUAGAUAUCUGGAGGAAUACCGGUGGCGAAGGCGGCAUCCUGGACCGACAUUGACGCUGAGGAGCGAAAGCUAGGGGAGCAAACGGG
rnacentral:rRNA from 1 species